CCUACGGGAGGCAGCAGCAAGGGAUUUUCCGCAAUGGGCGCAAGCCUGGCGGAGCAACGCCGCGUGGAGGAUGACGGCUUUCGGGUUGUAAACUCCUUUUGGGUGGGACGAUUGUGACGGUACCACCCCAACAAGCCCCGGCUAACUACGUGCCAGCAGCCGCGGUAAU
rnacentral:rRNA from 1 species